rnacentral:lncRNA from 1 species
AUAUGAUGGACUCCUUGCAAGAGAUGGGCUCCAUCUUACAAAGACAGGAAAGAACAUAUUUGGCAGGAGACUGGCUGCGCUCAUCAGGAGAGCUUUAAACUAGGGCGAAAGGGGAAGGGAAGUAAAAGUCCAGAGAAAGAUAAGCAGCUAAUAAAUACAGAUAAGGAACUUGCUACCAGAAAUGAAAGGAAAGAACAAAGACAAACAAUUUGGAAGGAAACUAAAGGAGUCAAGCUUGAAAGAGACAUUUGUCNCAAACUAAAAUGUUUCUAUACCAAUGCGCAAAGCAUGGGAAACAAACAAGGAGAACUGGAAAUCCUAGCACAGGAAAAUAAAUAUGAUAUCAUAGGCAUAACUGAAACUUGGUGGGAUAAUACGCAUGAUUGGAACACAGAGCUCGAAGGAUACAACUUAUUUAAAAAAAAACAGACUUAAUAAAAGGGGAGGAGGUGUUGCAUUGUAUGUAAGGAAAAUAUAUACCACCACAGAGAUUAAUCUUUCAGAUAAUGGAAGCCCUGUAGAAACCAUUUGGGUGAAAAUACAAGGAGAGAGCAACAAAAAGGAUACUGUUGUAGGAGUUUAUUAUAGACCCCCUGGACAAACAGAAUAUAUGGAUGAACUAUUUAUAUAUCAGAUGGCCAAGCUCUCGGGGAAACACGACCUAGUCAUUAUGGGAGAUUUUAACUAUCCGGACAUUUGUUGGGAAUCUCUCUCUGGCAAAAGUCAUGGGUCCAAUAAAUUCUUAUCCUCUCUGGCAGAUAACUUCAUUUUCCAAAGGAUUGAGGAAAAAACAAGGGGGUCUGCUAUCUUGGACCUAAUCCUUACCAACAGGGAGGAAAUGGUUGAGGAAGUAAGGGUGACUGGGACCCUGGGUGGCAGUGACCAUGCUAUCAUUGAGUUUUGGAUAACAAAAGGAGGAAGAUCUGAGAGGACUCGGACUUCAAGGUUAGAUUUCAGAGGAGCAGAUUUUGAUGGACUCAGAAGGAGGGUAGGAAGGAUCCAUUGGCUGGAUGUCUUAAAGGACAGAAAUGUCCUGGAAGGAUGGGAAAUUUUGAGAAAGGAGAUUCUAGAGGCACAAUCUUUAACAAUUCCUAAAAGAAAAAAGAAUGGCAAGCAUCUAAAGAGACCAGGGUGGAUGAACCCUGAACUUAAUAACUUGCUAAAAAGAAAAAAAGAAAUGUUUAAAAAAUGGAAAGAGGGGGACAUAUCAAAAGAAGAAUAUAAUGCAAUCUGCAGGAACUGCAGGAUAAGUGUCAGAAAGGC